rnacentral:rRNA from 1 species
AGGACGAACGCUGGCGGCGUGCUUAACACAUGCAAGUCGAGCGGAAAGGCCCUUCGGGGUACUCGAGCGGCGAACGGGUGAGUAACACGUGAGCAACCUGCCCUUAGCUCCGGGAUAGCUCCGGGAAACCGGAAUUAAUACCGGAUAUGACCUAGGCCGACAUCGGCUGUGGGUGGAAAGUUUUUCGGCUGGGGAUGGACUCGCGGCCUAUCAGCUUGUUGGUGGGGUAAUGGCCUACCAAGGCGACGACGGGUAGCCGGCCUGAGAGGGCGACCGGCCACACUGGGACUGAGACACGGCCCAGACUCCUACGGGAGGCAGCAGUGGGGAAUCUUGCGCAAUGGGCGAAAGCCUGACGCAGCGACGCCGCGUGGGGGAUGAAGGCCUUCGGGUUGUAAACCCUUUCAGCAGGGACGAAGCGAAAGUGACGGUACCUGCAGAAGAAGCGCCGGCUAACUACGUGCCAGCAGCCGC